AAAUAGAAGUCCAGCCCAGUGGGUUUAGUGCACUCAAUCGUGUGGGAGAGACCUGACCCUGGAUGACAUGUAGCACAGAUUCAACCCUCGUCAGCUGUCUCGUAUAUGUUAUUGCAUAAUGGGAUGAAACUUGUUCUUGCAGUAUAUUUUUUAAGGGAAGACAUUUCCAGCUUACUAGUAACUUUGACGCCUAAUUACCCCACAUAAAACAGCCAUGACUGAGCUGCUUAAAUCCAACACAUUCAUUUUUUUGCCAAACAACAUAUUGAGCAUUGUUGGAUUCGUCUCCCUACUCUUCCCUGUGUUCGUGGAGAAUCCCCUGAAGAAAGAAAGCAACAGCACAUUAAGGUCAGUUUAUUAAUCCAUUUCCUCCAUGUCCCUGAAGGUAAACGGCGCUGAGCAUAAUGCUGUCUGGAAGAAGAGCCAGUGCUUCACGAAUAUCUUACACUGGCAGUCAUUAAGGGGCGACUGCUAUUAAGCUCGUAAACACUGGACACCUCAACUGUCCAAUUUGGGUGAGUCUGUGCCCAUAAUAGCCUCAGAUUCAUGUUCUUGGCUGACAGGAAUGGAACCUGACGUGGUCUUCUGCAGUUGUAAUUCAUGCACCUCAAGAUGCCUGCAGAUGACUACAUCUGGAAGCUAUUAGCUGGAAAACACAAUUGGAGCACAGCAUGAAGCCUUUCCUAGUCCAAGUUCAAAUUUGAUUACAAUACCAAAGAAAAUUAAUAAUUUACACAUGUUUUUCUAAGGGUAUGUCACCUUUACUCUUGAUUUUUCUAAUAAUUUUGGACACUAAUGAAACGUGACACUAAGAGCUCUCAUACUGCAUAUCUAGCAAUCUACAAAAUGUAUAUUUAUAUGUAAAGUCAUAAUUAAAACUUUUGCACGCUUUGUGUUGAAACUCACCCCUAAAGUAGCAUAUCAUAUGUUUCAGAAUUUCAUUGGCUAUACAAUAAGCCAGUCAUCCACACCAUCGGUUGCAACAUGCUCAAACUUUUCAGUAAGGAAAGGGGGGAG
ensembl:lncRNA